CUGUCUUCGUCCUCCACUCUCGCCCACCUCCCACUCUGUUCCAGUAUUCCAGAAUCCCUCCCGCCUCCCACCCAGCGACCUAGCGGCGCCGACGACCCCGUCGAUCGUCGUCGUUCCCAUCGAAUCAGCCCCCAUUGCGACCCUCGCCAGUCGCCCCCAGGCCACCCACUGCGACCCUCGCCCAGUCGCCCCCAAGUUAGAUAGCUUAUUUCCGUCCUCCCGUCGUUCCGCCGCCGUCGAGCUUGUCGCCCCGUAGUAGCCGCGCCGCCUCCGAGCUCCGACAAUAGUGUUGCUUUGGAGUGUGCAUGUAGUAUAAGAGGACGUGUUCUAUCACCGUAUAGAAGCUCUUUGGCGGCGGAAAUGGUUGAGGCCUUGAUUUGUUCUGAGGAUUGGUUAAGAUCUACCAAUCUUGAUAAAAAAGAUGAAGAAGGUGUUCUGGAAUAAAAUCAACAGAAGGAGUUUGAAAUGGCUAUACUCAUGGUGAUUUGAGGACGUCACAGAGUCAGACGGAUCAAAGUGGAACUUGUGCGGCGGAGUAGCCAUGGACAUCAUUUUAUUAAACUUUCUGAUUUAUUUGAGUAUUUGACAUUUGUUUGUGUAACUUACUUGGUUACUUAAGACGUUCGUUCAAUUUAAAAUUUUAGACUUGGGAGUUGAGAUU